GAGACAAUGGCCAACAACCCACCUAUGGAGAUUGGGAUGGAUUUCAUGCGUGAAGAAAUGGAAGAAGGUGGUGUUUUACACAACACUGACCAAAUUGAUAUGACAUUUCGGGUUGAGAAUAGGGCAGAUGAUGAUAUGGGUGAUGAGGAUGAUGACAUGGGAGAUGAGGGUGAGGAAGAUGAAGAUGAUGAUGAUGGAGAGGAUGAGGAUGAGGAUAUUGCUGAAGAUGGUACUGGCAUGAUGUCUCUAGCAGAUACUGAUGUGGAAGACCAUGAUGAUACUGGUUUGGGGGAUGACUACAAUGAUGAGAUGAUUGAUGAAGAUGAUGAUUUUCAUGAGCAUCGUGUCAUAGAGGUUAGGUGGAGGGAAGCCUUUGACGGGCUAGAUCAUUUACAGGUCCUUGGCCAACCUGGAGCUGCAAGCAAUCUAAUUGAUGUUGCAGCUGAGCCUUUCGAAGGGGUGAAUGUGGAUGACCUUUUUGGUCUUCCUAGGCCUUUGGGUUUUGAGCGCCGGCGUCAGAGUGUUAGACCUUCCUUUGAGCGUUCUGUCACUGAAGCAAAUGGACUUCAACAUCCACUUCUCCUAAGGCCAUCACAAUCAGGGGAUCCAGUUUCUAUGUGGUCAUCAGGUGGGCAUUCAUCCAGGGAUUUAGAAGCCCUUUCAGCUGGGAGCUUUGAUGUAGCUCACUUUUACAUGUUUGAUGCUCCUGUUCUUCCAUAUGAUCAUGUGUCAAGUAGUCUCUUUGGUGAUCGUUUGGGUAGUGCAGUACCCCCAUCUUUGACUGAUUAUUCUGUAGGCAUGGACUCAUUGCAGAUACAGGGCCGAAG
rnacentral:misc_RNA from 1 species